GGGGAAUACUGGUAAAAAAACCUCAGUUAUUGUAAAUAUUGGUGUGCACACCGCCAGCUCUAUUGAGCUAGGCAUUUCUAUUAGGUUAACCAGACCUGCUGGCCUCCGAGAAGGUAGCAGGGUACCUGCUGGCAUCCGGGAAGGUAGCAGGG